rnacentral:lncRNA from 1 species
AUGAAGUAGCCAGGCAUAGCUUCAGCCAGGAGACUGAAGCACCAGAUGCUGGAGGGAGUGGAGGAAGAAGUUUAAUUACCACAUACAGCUCUUCCAUAUGCAAGGUCUCUGGGGCAAAACUGUCAUUCUGUCUGAAGCCAGACCCUCAAUGUCAGACUAAGAGAGUCGGAUGGAGACUACAUCUUCUGUGUGUGUUGCAAUGGGAGGACUUCUCUCCACCGAGUUUAGUGAGGGAAGGAUCCAAAUCAUAGGUUAAAGGGAAUUCUG